CAAAGACAUGAUGGCAGAAAAUAGAACAUGACAGAAGAGAACACAGGAGAGGCAAAUGGAAAAUUAGAACGGAUGAUCUAAAAUGUCAGCCAGCUUACAGAAGGCUUAAAACCAGAGAGAGAAACGUGGCAUUUAUCAUCCCCAGGGUUCUUUAAAGGUCCUAGAGCAGAUAUGUUAUCACAGAGUGGUAUUUUAGGAGCAUCAUUUUGUCAGUGCUCUGCACAAAGGAGAAACCCUGAAGUCAGAGGACUGAUCAGAAACUCACUGGAAUAGAUGGAAAAGAGACAGAUUGGAAGUUCAUUUUUAAAGGAAAAAAUGACAAAAGAGACUACUGAGAAAUAAGUCAACUUAAGUGUUAUGGUAUAUGCCCCAUACCAGCUGAGAGAAAGGAACUUAAACUAUAUAUGUAGCUUUCAAAUACUGAAAACAAAACUCAUUUAAGCAAAUACCAUACUGAGAAAACAUGCAAACAAUUUAUACUGGCCAUAUGCUUAGGUGUAUAACAUCAUGCUUAAUAGAUAACAC
rnacentral:lncRNA from 1 species